rnacentral:snRNA from 1 species
GUGCUCGCUUCAGCAGCACAUACACUAAAAUUGGAAUGAUACAGAGAAGAUUAGCAUGGCCCCUGCGCAAGGAUGAUACGCAAAUUUGUGAAGCGUUCCAUAUUUAA